CAAACUACUGAGCAUAGUCAUAAUUAAAUGGUAUAGAUAGUUUGACAUAAUAGUUUUAUGAGAAGUGUAUAGAUGAAUGUUUUGUGUUUUGGUAAAAUGAUUAUAUAGAUAAUGAUAAUUUAUGGAUACAUAUAUUGUUGAGGCUAUGAAAGUUUUAGUAUAGACUGGGAUUAGAUACCCCAUUAUUUGAAAUUUUAAAUUAGAUUAUAAUUUACUUGGGUACUACGAACAAUAAGUUUAAAAUUUAAAGGACUUGGCGGUGUUUUAGAUUUUUAGGGGAACUUGUCUCAUAAAUGAUAAUCCACGUUAUACCUGACCUAAAUUUAAUAAUGGUUUGUAUAUCGUUGUUGAGUUAGUUUUGAGAGGAUUUAGCUAAAAAAUUAUUGAAUUUUUAUUUCAGAUCAAGAUGCAGCUUAUAUUUGGGGGAGGAUGAGUUACAAUUAUGUAAUAUAGUUGGAUGUUUUAAGGAAGAUUAUGAUUGAAAUUGGACUUAAAAGUAA
rnacentral:rRNA from 1 species